GUUCAUUACGCUCAGACAGUAAACAGGUCAGUCUGCUAAUUGUGGGUGUGACUAAGGAAGAUUUGCCAUUGAUGAUCUGCAUAAUGCCGGUUGUAUAAGGGGAUGCUUUGUGAUUAAAUCAAUAAAAAAUAACUGCUGCUAAUUAACCAAGAGGAAUGUUAAUAAGCUGUUAAUUAACAGCAAAUUUAUAUUUAACGAGAAGCCUCCCCCCCUAGCAAUGGUUUAUUCCACCGAGUAGAAUGUGUGUAUACAUUCUUAUAGAACAUUCUUAUCUAAAUUAUGUCAGUUCCUCCUCCCAAGCAUCUGAUCCUGGUUAUUUGUUAUAAAGGUCAUCACAUCUCCAAGUAUAUUUUCC